rnacentral:rRNA from 1 species
GAUGAACGCUGGCGGCGUGCCUAAUACAUGCAAGUCGAGCGAACAGACGAGGAGCUUGCUCCUCUGACGUUAGCGGCGGACGGGUGAGUAACACGUGGAUAACCUACCUAUAAGACUGGGAUAACUUCGGGAAACCGGAGCUAAUACCGGAUAAUAUAUUGAACCGCAUGGUUCAAUAGUGAAAGACGGUUUUGCCGUCACUUAUAGAUGGAUCCGCGCCGCAUUAGCUAGUUGGUAAGGUAACGGCUUACCAAGGCAACGAUGCGUAGCCGACCUGAGAGGGGGAUCGGCCACACUGGAACUGAGACACGGUCCAGACUCCUACGGGAGGCAGCAGUAGGGAAUCUUCCGCAAUGGGCGAAAGCCUGACGGAGCAACGCCGCGUGAGUGAUGAAGGUCUUCGGAUCGUAAAACUCUGUUAUGAGGUAAGAACAAAUGUGUAAGUAACUAUGCACGUCUUGACGGUACCUAAUCAGAAAGCCACGGCUAACUACGUG